GAUGAAGAACGUAGCGAAAUGCGAUAAGUAAUGUGAAUUGCAGAAUUCAGUGAAUCAUCGAAUCUUUGAACGCACCUUGCGCUCCUUGGUAUUCCGAGGAGCAUGCCUGUUUGAGUGUCAUUAAUAUAUCAACCUUCUCUUUUUUGAGUUGUUUGGAUGUGGGGGUUUGUUGGCCUCUUAAAUGAUUCAGCUCCCCUGAAAUGCAUUAGCAGAACAACCUGUUCAUUGGCGUGAUAAUUAUCUAUGCUAUUGAAUGUGAGGGCAGUUCAGCUUUCUAACCGUCCUUGGACAAUUCAUCAUUAAUGUGACCUCAAAUCAGGUAGGACUACCCGCUGAACUUAAGCAUAUCAAUAAGCGGAGGA
rnacentral:misc_RNA from 1 species